GACGAACGCUGGCGGCGUGGAUUAGGCAUGCAAGUCGAACGGUAUCAUCCUUUCGGGGGUGAGAGAGUGGCGAACUGGUGAGUAACACGUAGGUUAUCUACCCUCAAGACGGGGACAACCCAGGGAAACUUGGGCUAAUACCGGAUGUGAGCAACUUUUAGUUGUUUGAAAGGUGGCGUAAGCUGUCGCUUGGGGAUGAGCCUGCGUCCUAUUAGUUAGUUGGUGAGGUAACGGCUCACCUAGGCAAUGAUAGGUAGGCGGCCUUAACGGGUGGUCGCCCACACUGGGAUUGAGAUACGGCCCAGACUCCUACGGGAGGCAGCAGUCGAGAAUAGUCUAACAAUGGUCGGAAGACUGAUAGUGCGACGCCGCGUGAACGAUGAAUCCCUUCGGGGUGUAAAGUUCUUUUAUAUGUGAGCAGUGCUUCUUAUAUUAACAGUAUGGGGAAGAGAUAUUAGCAUAUGAAUAAGCAACGGCUAAACUCCGUGCCAGCAGCCGACGGU
rnacentral:rRNA from 1 species